CUGGGGCGGUCGCCUCCUAAAAGGUAACGGAGGCGCUCAAAGGUUCCCUCAGAAUGGUUGGAAAUCAUUCAUAGAGUGUAAAGGCAUAAGGGAGCUUGACUGCGAGACCUACAAGUCGAGCAGGGUCGAAAGACGGACUUAGUGAUCCGGUGGUUCCGCAUGGAAGGGCCAUCGCUCAACGGAUAAAAGCUACCCCGGGGAUAACAGGCUUAUCUCCCCCAAGAGUUCACAUCGACGGGGAGGUUUGGCACCUCGAUGUCGGCUCAUCGCAUCCUGGGGCUGUAGUCGGUCCCAAGGGUUGGGCUGUUCGCCCAUUAAAGCGGUACGCGAGCUGGGUUCAGAACGUCGUGAGACAGUUCGGUCCCUAUCCGUCGUGGGCGUAGGAAAUUUGAGAGGAGCUGUCCUUAGUACGAGAGGACCGGGAUGGACAUACCUCUGGUGUACCAGUUGUCGUGCCAACGGCAUAGCUGGGUAGCUAUGUGUGGACGGGAUAAGUGCUGAAAGCAUCUAAGCAUGAAGCCCCCCUCAAGAUGAGAUUUCCCAACUUCGGUUAUAAGAUCCCUCAAAGAUGAUGAGGUUAAUAGGUUCGAGGUGGAAGCAUGGUGACAUGUGGAGCUGACGAAUACUAA
rnacentral:rRNA from 1 species